UACGGAGGGUGCAAGCGUUAAUCGGAAUUACUGGGCGUAAAGGGUGCGUAGGCGGUUGUUUAAGUCAGGGGUGAAAUCCUGGAGCUCAACUCCAGAACUGCCUUUGAUACUGAAGAUCUUGAGUUCGGGAGAGGUGAGUGGAACUGCGAGUGUAGAGGUGAAAUUCGUAGAUAUUCGCAAGAACACCAGUGGCGAAGGCGGCUCACUGGCCCGAUACUGACGCUGAGGCACGAAAGCGUGGGGAGCAAACAGG
rnacentral:rRNA from 1 species